GAGCACAGUACAGAUUUAGUAAUAUAAUUAUUUGUUGUAAACAUAUUUAAAAUUUUAGGUGGUACUAAGCUUAAUAAAUUGGAGCUAACAUUACUCGGUUACAAAAGGGAAAUAGCCAACAUGCAUAUAUCACCGCCCACUCAAAGAUGGUUCAUAAAUCAAUACAUCUGAAUGGCUUCAAUGCACAAAGCUAUUAAUAAUGACAGAGUGGCUGACGGUCCACCUGAUGGUAACUGGUAACUGACAGUUAUACUAGUAUACAUAUAUGAAUAGCACCAUGGAGAUCAUGUUUUCAUGUGACACCCGUGAGUACGUCUGAUGCGGUGCAAUUUCGGAAGAUUAUGAUGCAUGUCUACAAAACAGGAGCUUCGCUGCAGUCACACAAUCGUAUAUUUGAAUACAUAAAAAAAGAGACGAGAGAAGAUUUUGUUAGAAAAAUGCAAUAAUGUAGUUUUUUAGUAAAAUUUCAUCGAUUUGGAUACGUGUUUACAUUUAAUUUCAUCAGGGAAAGUUUAAAGGUCGGUUACAGACAAAGGCAUUGAAAUAGCAAGAAAAAAAUGCAUCUCUCUAUUUUAUUCUAAAAAGGAGUCAAGUUAUCUACUACAGUGGCGUUGAAGGAAUAGUUUCCCUCUCUUGACGGUUGCUUUAGGACGCUCCUUAGCAACUCGUCCAUCCACCCGAGUCACAACCCAGGCGAAUUGCAGGACUGCAUACGAGUCCUCAGUAAGAGCAGGGGUGCUGCGACUGUGCGCGCUCUCCAGCUGCUACUUACUCAACGGAUUUUCUCUAGUUCCGCUUCUAAUACCUGAGUAGAGUCGGACUCCCAGAUGCUUCAUAUCAGACCUUUGUAUAUAUACAUAACUACAAUAAGACUUUGAUAGCGCGAUUCAGGUCUGCUCGAUGAUUAUGAUUUGGAUUGGAUAUUGUUUUUGCAACUAUCAAUCAGCUGAAACGCGCGUUGAUAAGAUAUUGUAAUCAUGAAAUAUGACUGAUACCUAGACAUACAAUAUGUAUUCAUAUGUCGUUAUUUUUCAACUUCAUGAAGUGACGUAACUGACCUUGGUAAUAACUGACAUUAAUUGUAAUUAAAAAUAAAUAUGAACAAAG